AAAAAUGAGUAUAUCAUCGCCGCGGUACUCGGUUUUUUUAAAACAAAUAUGAAUACCGAGAUUGGGUUCCGAUUAUUAUUAACCGGGAUCGCCCGCCGCCCACAAUGUUUCACCGGCGAGGGAUUUUUCUCCCUUGGGUGAGAUCGUAGAAUCGAAGAUCAUCAAUGACUGCAAGUGACGCCGGCAGGUCCUGGUCCUCCGUCCGGAUUCGUUACCUUCAGGAACGGAUGGCCAUUAGGGAUGCGAUCCAAGUGUAGAGAAAAUGGAGAAAAGAGCCAGUCCGAUUCGGUUUGGUCGGUAAAUGAGUUUGGUUGGUCCAAAAUGCCAGCCCUAGAAGAAACAGAGGAGGGAAUAAAAUGAAAGAGUGAAAUAGGAUGUGGGGUUUGGGUCUGUGAUGGUGGGGCGGUGGGGUUGGUCAAGAUGAGGGAGAUGUGGGGAGGGUUGACAGGGAUGAGGAAGGAAGUAAAAACAAAUAAAAACAAAUAAAAAAUCCCAGUCCAGCUCGAGCAAUAGUGGCAACGUCUCAGCUGGCCGUUGAAGUGAGGGACCGAAUUGAAGAGAACGAAACCGGGAAGAAGGUAUUCGAUAGGCUUCGUCUCGGCACGGCACGCCUUGCAAUUUCGGCCCCGGGCGGAUGAGUUCGGGAUCAGUCAGAAAACCUGAUCAAACCAAACAUUUGGGGCAGUUGGAAACUAAGUUUUGAGAAUUGAAUGAACUUCACUCACACCACAACAAAGGAGCGAAGAGUUUCUCCUCUUGAUCUGGAUGAGCUUGUCAAACACACACCAUGGAAAGCUCAGGAAAUGAUCCCUUUCCAUUCCCUUGUUGCAGCGACCCCAGUAAUCAGGAUAAUAUGUAACAUGGUACCAAGCUGAUGCUUUUGCUGCUUGUACAUCAUUGAUAUCAGGCUUCAUAUCUGACUGCAUUCCCAGCUUCUCAUCAAACCAGGUCCUAGCUUCCUUUCUCAAUGCCUUUAUAGCGUAAUGAAUAGACUCCAAGUCUUUUCCCCAGUUGAAAUUUUUUGAUACUGCAGUGAUGCUCCCACUUAGUAUUUCGGCUUCAGUUUUGUAGCCGUAGUAAUCCAUCAGGUUUCCCAGCUUGUAGUCAUACUCAAUUUUGUAAUUGAUAGCAUCUUUGAUGUAGUCUUCAAAUCCAUCUACCUCCAUAUCAGGGUCAUAAAACUUCAUAGCAACUUCCAUGGUGAAGGAUUUAAUUGAGCCCGAGUUUGAAGGUGAAUCUGAUGCAAGCUCAACAUGUUUCACCUGUCGGAAAAGCCUCCCAAUCACACGUUUUGAUUCGUAGGUGAGUUUGUCACCCUUCUCCAUGAAAUCUGGGUAUUUGUCGACACGUAGACAGUGUGGCACUUCCACUACCACACCAGUUUUCGGAGAGUCAACAGCAUGCGAGCUGAGCUUGGCGAGCUUGAUACAUGGAGCACUGGUAGCCUUCUGUCGCUCUCUGUCUGCAAAGACAGUAUGUGCAUUACAAAUGAUCCCCAAGUUGUCGUUCACUAUGUAGUUGGUAAAUGACUCUGCAACCUCCUGUAACAAACACAACAGAACGCAAUGAAUAACUCUGAGACAAGAUUCGACAAGUGAAGUAUAUAUCUUUCAAAUAUCAUUGACUAUAUUUUACUUGAUGAAUUGAGAAAUACCUCCAUUGUCACAUCAUGACCCAAUUCAAUAGUUGGUGCUGGGAUAUACUUCAUGGGUCGAACUUGCCGAGGAGGAAUCAGAUCAGGGUCCCAACUGACAAAGUAAAAAUCUCCGUCCAAGUCACUUCCAGAGCAUUCAUUCGGAUGAGGCCUAAUACAACACAAGGAAAGAAACAUAGUCAGGAAGACUACACAAUCCACCAUGUGGUGCAAGGCGAGCACGUUCACAGCCCUAAGAACACGAACAUCUCCUGGAUGUAAACAGGGGUUUUUAGCAACCACUACGUUUCCC